rnacentral:miRNA from 10 species
UGUGCUCUGCUGCGCUGUGCUGUGCUGUGCUGUGCUCUGCUGGGCUGUGCUCUGCUGUGCUGGGCUGUGCUCUCUGCUGUGC